rnacentral:tRNA from 2 species
AGUAAAGUCAGCUAAUCAAGCUCUUGGGCCCAUACCCCAAAAAUGUAGGCUAAACCCCUUCCUUUACUA